GUUUUUGUAGUGUAGUGGUUAUCACAUUUGCCUACCACGCCAAAGGUUCCUGGUCCAAAACCAGGUAGAAACA